UUUUCCAAAAUGGCUUCAAACUCAAAAAAGUUAUCAGGACCUUGAUAAUUCUAAUGCAGGAAUUUCUGAUAUGUUGUUUUCUAAUUCCGCAAAAUACAAAAAGACUUCUAAAAUGUAAACAGUACAUAAAUGUAAUUCAAGGACGUAGAUGUAUCGGUACAUAAGUUUCGGCACGAUGUAUCGGUACAUAAGUUUCGGUAUGAUUGCAUCAGUACAUAAGUUUCGGUAUGAAUGCAUCGGUACAUAAAUUUCGGUACGAUGUAUCAGUACAUAAUCAGUACGAUUGCAUCGAUACAUAAGUUUCGGUAAGAUGUAUUGAUACAAAGUUUCGGCACGAUGUAUCAAUACAUAAGUUUCAGUACGAUUGCAUUAGUAUAUAAGUUUCGUUACAAAUGCAUCGGUACAUAAGUUUCGGUAUGAAUGUAUCGGUACAUAAGUUUCAGUACGAUUACAUCGAUACAUAAGUUUCAGUACAAAUGCAUCGGUACAUAAAUUUCGGUACAAAUGUAUCAAUACAUAAAUUUCGGUACGAAUGUAUCAGUACAUAAAUUUCGAUACAAAUGUAUCAGUACAUAAGUUUCGGUACGAAUGUAUCAGUACAUAAGUUUCGGUACUAAUGUAGCAGUACAUAAGUUUCGGUACGAUUGCAUCAGUACAUAAGUUUCGGUACGAAUGCAUCAGUACAUAAGUUUCGGUACGAUGUAUUGGUACAUAAGUUUCGGCACGAUGUAUCAGUACAUAAGUUUCGGUAUGAUUGCAUCCGUACAUAAGUUUCGGUACGAUGUAUCGGUACAUAAGUUUCGGUACGAUUGCAUCGAUAUAUAAGUUUCAGUAAGAUGUAUUGGUCCAAAGUUUCGACACGAUGUAUCGGUAUAUAAGUUUCGGUACGAUUGCAUCAAUACAUAAGUUUCGGUACGAAUGCAUCAGUACAUAAGUUUCGGUACGAAUACAUCGGUAUAUAAAAUUCAGUACGAAUGUAUCAGUACAUAGUUUCGAUACGAUUGCAUCGAUACAUAAGUUUUAGUACAAAUGCAUCGGUACAUAAAUUUCGGUACGCAUUUUCCAAAAUGGCUCCAAACUCAAAAAAGUUAUCAGGACCUUGAUAUUUCUAAUGCAGGAAUUUCUGAUAUCCUUCCAAGUUGGUUUUGGAGCCCUCUGUCUCAUCAGGAUCUUGGAUCUAUUUUUAUAGAUCUUUCCAACAACCGAAUUAGAGGAACAAUUCCAAAUUCAAGAUUUGAGUUUCCCUCAUCUUCCUUUAGUAAAGUGAAUUUGAGUUGGAACCGAUUGGAAAGUCCAGUCCCUUCAUUCCUUUCCAUAGCGAUAUCUCUAGAUAUCUCCAACAAUAAGCUUUCAGGGUUAAUUUCUUUCGUGUGUCCAAAGACUCCGAACAAGGUUAGUUGUUUAGCCUUUCUUGAUCUCUCAAGCAACAAUUUGUACGAACAACUUCCUAAUUGUUGGACACGUUUUGAAAAUCAUGCAUUUCUUGAUUUGAGUGAUAAUGCUCUUUUUGG
rnacentral:lncRNA from 1 species